rnacentral:lncRNA from 1 species
AUGAUUGACUUAUACAGAGGGGUCCUUCUGACAUUUCAGAGAUUUGUCAAAGAGCUUCAACAUGAAAAGCCAAUGGUGCAUUUGUUGCAUGUGGAAAUGGUGGCCCUUGUUAGAGAGCUCCUGAGCAAAUUUAUGAGACCAAAGGCUAUUCCACUGAGUCACAAGGAGAUUCUCAAGGUUGAUGUACGGAGCAGGGAUUUGCAACUGUCAAACCAGAGGCUCUCUGUUGGACAAUUCUGCUACAAUGCAAUGAACAAAGCUCGUGUGGAGAGGAAGGUAUGGGUUGGACAUAUCUAUGACUCUCUCAGAGAAGGGUAUAUGAGGUCAGCAGAGUUUCUGCUAAAAAACCUUCCCCUGGAUAACAUCAUAUUAACAUCACUCUCUGCUCUGACGCCAUCUCUAAUUCAAUCCGAUGCAGUUGUUGGAGCAUUCACUACAUUAGGAGAGGCCUUGCCAAAUGUUGUCCCUCCAGAAGAGAUCGGUCAACUGGUUGAAGAAUGCCGGGCCUACCAGAUGGAUGCGGACAUGCUUCUUCGUGUACCAAACUACAUCGAAGGGGACUGUCGAGUUGAUGUAGACUGGUGGAGCCAUGUUGCUUCUUUGAAAAAUGCAGAGAGAGGUGUGAAGUAUCCCACCCUGUGCAAACUUGUUAAAGCGCUUCUGUCCAUUUUUACAGGCCCCUUGGUGGAAGGAUCAUUCAAUUUAAUGGAUGAUAUCCUAGAGUCUGACAGGUGCUCCAUGAAUGUGGAAACAUACGAGAGCCUCGCAGUGAUCAAGUCCACACUUAAGGCCAGGAACUGGACAGCCUCAACUAUGAACAUUGACCAGCCUUUAAGGCGAUCCUGCCUUUCCUCAUUCCAAAACUACCAAUUACAUUUAAAGAAAAAGAAAGAGACUGCACAGGCACUAAAGAAGAAAAGGCUUAGUGAGGCAGCAAGGAUUCUGUCCUCAAAGGAGGCAAACAAAUUGUCUCAACAGGCCCGAAAAACCAAAAGGCCAGCAAUAUCCUCCUCUGCACAAACCUCCACCUCCUCUGCACAAGCCUCUACCACCUCUGCUCAACAGGCCCUCCUGAAAAAGAGAAGACUACCCCAACCCUCCUCUGCGCAAGCCUCCACUUCCUCUGCACAAAAACCUACUAGACUCCAAACCACGGCCAUCCUGAAAAAAAGACCACCCAAACCCUCCUCUGCACAAGCCUCCAUUUCCUCUGCUCAACAGUCCCUCCUGAAAAUGAGAAGACCACCACAACCCUCCUCUACACAAGCCUCCACCACCUCUGCUCAACAGGCCCUGGAAAAAGAAUACCACCCCAAUCCUCCUCUGUACAAGCCUCCACUUCCUCUGCACAAGCCUCCACCACCUCUGCUCAAAAGGCCCUUGAAAAAGAAGACCACCCCAACCCUCCUCUGCACAAGUCUCCACAUCAUCUGCACCAUCACAGUUUUUUCCUCUCUUUUAUCAAUCCAAAGCAUCAUCAACCAUGUUAAAAAGGAAAGGUUCCGAGGACCGUUUUCCACUACUGUUCUUUUACUAGUUAUUUAUUUUGGUUUUUCAGUUGUUUUUCAGUGGUCACCAUUUGCAUGUUUUGAAAAAAAACAAACUACGUUCAGAAAGGAAGAAAUGAAGGGAAGGAGAAAUGUUUUUGUUAAUCCCAUACCGUCUUUUACAGUAUAUUCAUUUUUUAUAGUUUUUCAGUUGAAUGGUGCAUAUUUUGCAAUUAAAUUUGUUAAAGAAAAAUGA